rnacentral:lncRNA from 1 species
AUGAACUCGUUCGUUGUUUCACAAAAGUUCCUGUCGUUGGUGUUGGAUCACCCCAAGAAUUCAGUUUCAUCCCUUACCCUGCUCGGGGCGCCCUCACCUCGGCUCCGUUCUGCUGCCCAGCAUCCUGCCCGUCAGGGCAGCCCCGCAGCCGGGCCGUGCUGGGAGGAAGCUCGAAGUUCAGCGGGGGCCUGGACCAUCAGCGUGGAAGUUUCCACUGCAAAAACAUCCCCUGACUCCCACACAUGUGCCCUGUGCCAUCCCCGUGCCAUGUGCCACCCAUGUGCCAUGUGUCCUGUGCCAUCCCCGUGCCAUGGGCCCUGUGCCAUCCCUGUGCCAGGUGCCAUUCCCCUGUGCUAUGUACCCCCACCACACGCCACGUGCCAUCCCUGUGCCAUGCACUGUCACCAUGUGCCACGUGCCAUGAGCCCUAUGCCACGCGGUCCCCCCUCGCCGUGCCCACGGCCCCGCCUGCAGCAGACGCGGUGCCCGUCGCGCUGGGCAGCGGCAGCCGCGGUUCCCAACGGCGUCGGCGCUGGGGCCGCUCCCGGACGAGAAUCGCCGCCGAACGCGCGGCGCCGCACGGAGAGGGGGUGCCGGCCGCCGCCAAAACAACCACACCCCCCCCCAGUGUCCGAACGGACCCGGCGCGUUCCGCUCAGUGACACGGACGCCCGUCACAGAGGGCCGCGCCCGCGGGCGCCUAUAAAAGCGGCGCGGGGCGCGGAGCGGCAGCCCCCGGUCCCGCACAGCUCGGCACCGCCGCGGAGCCGUCCCACCGCAGCCCGGCAUGGCCCGCUACCGGCGCAGCAGGACCCGCAGCCGCAGCCGCCGCCGCCGCCGCCGCUCCCGACGCCGCCGCAGCCCCCGACGCCGCCGCUACGGGAGCUCCCGUCGCUCCGGACGCUCCGUGGGGAGACGGCGACGCCGCUACGGGAGCCGCCGCCGCCGCCGCCGUUGAUGCGACCGCCCGCGCCACCACCACCGGAACCACCACCGGCACCGGCACCGGCACGCCGUGCCCGGCCCGCGGCCCCGUGCUGCUGCUUCGCCAAUAAACAGCCGCGGCACCGGGCCCGCGUGUCCGUGCUUCUGUCCGCGUCCUCUGGGGCGUUCUCGGGGGUCCGUGAGCGCCAGGACCGUGUCCGGGGGUGUCCCCGUGCAGUGGUCCCACGUCCCGGGGUGUCACCGUGCGCCGGCUGUGUGCGUCCCGUGGUGUCCAUCCGUGUCCCUUGGGUCCACGUCCCCUGGUGUCCACUUGUGUCCCUUCGGUCUGUGUCCCAUGGUACCCAGUGUCCCACAAUGUCCCGUGCCCUAUGGUCUCCAUGUCCCGGGGUGUCCUUGUGUUCUGGCUGUGCGCAUCCCAUGGUGUCCACCCGUGUCCCUUGGCUCCGUGUCCCAUUGGUGUCCCUGUACCCGUGUGUCAUUGUGUGCCGGCUGUGUGCGUCCCGUGGUGUCCAUCCGUGUCCCUUGGGUCCACGUCCCGUGGUGUCCCCGUCCAGUGGCCCCACGUCCCAGGGUGUCAUUGUGCUCCAGCUGUGUGCGUCCCAUGGUGUCCACCCAUGUCCCUUGGCUCCGUGUCCCAUGGUGCCCCGUGUCCCAUUGGUGUCCCUGUACCCGUGUGUCAUUGUGCGCUGGCUGUGUGCGUCCCAUGGUGUCCAUCCGUGUCCCUUGGGUCCACGUCCCAUGGUGUCCGUGUCCUGUGUUCCCACCUCCCAGGGUGUCAUUGUGCUCUGGCUGUGUGCGUCCCAUGGUGUCCACCCGUGUCCCUUGGCUCCGUGUCCCAUGGUGCCCCUUGUCCCAUGA